rnacentral:rRNA from 1 species
UAAGGAAUAUUGGACAAUGGGGGCAACCCUGAUCCAGCCAUGCCGCGUGCAGGAUGACAGCGCUCAGCGUUGUAAACUGCUUUUGUUUGGGAAAAAAAUCUGCUAUUCUUAGCGGACUGAUUGUACCAAAAGAAUAAGGGACGGCUAACUUCGUGCCAGCAGCCGCGGUAAUACGAAGGUCCCAAGCGUUAUCCGGAUUUAUUGGGUUUAAAGGGUGCGUAGGCGGGUUAUUAAGUCAGUGGUGAAAGCUCCAUGCCUAACAUGGAAAUUGCCAUUGAUACUGAUGAUCUUGAGUACAUUUGAAGUGGGCGGAAUGUGUCAUGUAGUGGUGAAAUACUUAGAUAUGACACAGAACACCGAUUGCGUAGGCAGCUCGCUAAACUGUAACUGACGCUGAGGCACGAAAGCGUGGGGAGCAAACAGGAUUAGAUACCCCCGUAGUCC